rnacentral:misc_RNA from 1 species
AAGAUGGCAGUAAAGAGGUGUUCGUUAACUUCAGUUUUAUUACAACCGAAGUUUUUAAGACUUUGACCGAAGGUCAGAAAGUUGAGUUUAAUAUUACUGAGGGGGAGAAAAGGCCAUCUGCUAUAAACGUUGUCGCUAUUUGAUUUACUAUAAGAAUUUAUAAAAACCCGUCUCAAUUAUUGAGACGGGUUUU